UUAUGGCCAUAUCACGUUGAAACACCGUUUCCCAUACGAUCACCGUAGUUAAUCAAAGUUGAGCCUGCCAAGUACUUAGAUGGUUGACCAGUUAGGAAACUUGGUGAUGUAA